rnacentral:rRNA from 1 species
AAUUUCUGGUACGGUGCGCGCAGUCCGCAGUAGCAAUACUGUGAGUACUGGUGUGCGUCUGCCAUACUUGUGUCUGACGCUCCUCUUUACUGGGGAGUUUCUGCACAUCUUUUACUUUGAAAAAAUUAGAGUGUUUAAAGCAGGCUUGCGCUAUGAAUACAUUAGCAUGGAAUAAUAAUUUAGGACUUCGUUUCUAUUUUGUUGGUUUCUAGGGAUGAAGUAAUGAUUGAUAGGGAUAGUUGGGGGUGCUAGUAUUCAUCGGCCAGAGGUGAAAUUCUUGGAUUCGAUGAAGACUAACUUAUGCGAAAGCAUU